AAAAAGGCAAACCCUGGAUUUCCGUGUCUAACUUUGAUUGUCCGUCUUAUAUGAAUUUUUUUUAUAAUUCGUAUUUUUAUUGUUGUUUUUUUAUUAAUUCGUAUUUUUAUUGUUGUUAGAUGAUAAAACAUGAUUAAUAUUUUAUGCAUGACUUGUCUUUUUAAUUUUUUUCAUAACUUUUUCAAAUAAAACAGACGGUCAAACGUUGGGCACAGAAACCAGGGUUUGUCUUUUU
rfam:Oryza rufipogon genomic scaffold, chr08